ensembl:snoRNA
CAGCACUGUCUUUGAACUGGUGAAGUGUCCCGCUAAUGGCUUCACUGGCUAAGCAACAGUGCAACAGGAAAAAGCUUGUUCAUAACUGGUGCUGCUUAGUUAAAAUCUGAGUGGCUCUUUUAAGAUCAAGUAACAAGG